UGGGUGGCUCAACCGUCCAACUUGUGACUUCCGCUCAGGUAGGUCAUGAUGUCCAGGUUUGCGAGUUUGAGCCCGCAUCAGUCUCUGCACUGACAGUGCGGAGCCUGCUUGGGAUUCUCUCUCUCUCUCUCUCUCUCUCUCUCUCCCUCUCU